CGAAAGUUACGCUAAUACCGCAUACGAUCUAAGGAUGAAAGUGGGGGAUCGCAAGACCUCAUGCUCGUGGAGCGGCCGAUAUCUGAUUAGCUAGUUGGUAGGGUAAAAGCCUACCAAGGCAUCGAUCAGUAGCUGGUCUGAGAGGACGACCAGCCACACUGGAACUGAGACACGGUCCAGACUCCUACGGGAGGCAGCAGUGGGGAAUUUUGGACAAUGGGCGAAAGCCUGAUCCAGCAAUGCCGCGUGAGUGAAGAAGGCCUUCGGGUUGUAAAGCUCUUUUGUCAGGGAAGAAACGGUGAGAGCUAAUAUCUCUUGCUAAUGACGGUACCUGAAGAAUAAGCACCGGCUAACUACGUGCCAGCAGCCGCGGUAAUACGUAGGGUGCAAGCGUUAAUCGGAAUUACUGGGCGUAAAGCGUGCGCAGGCGGUUUUGUAAGUCUGAUGUGAAAUCCCCGGGCUCAACCUGGGAAUUGCAUUGGAGACUGCAAGGCUAGAAUCUGGCAGAGGGGGGUAGAAUUCCACGUGUAGCAGUGAAAUGCGUAGAUAUGUGGAGGAACACCGAUGGCGAAGGCAGCCCCCUGGGUCAAGAUUGACGCUCAUGCACGAAAGCGUGGGGAGCAAACAGGAUUAGAUACCCUGGUAGUCCACGCCCUAAACGAUGUCUACUAGUUGUCGGGUCUUAAUUGACUUGGUAACGCAGCCUAA
rnacentral:rRNA from 1 species